CACUACCACCCCCACAAUACCUACAUCAAUGGAUAGAGCUCCUCAAGACCUAGCUAUUGAUGCCAAUUUCACCCAAAAAAUCGGGCGACCAAAAUCCAGCCAAAUUCCGGCGACCUUCCCGAACACCCUUUUUUGGCAUACCACCAUUUUUUCGGUCACUUGAAUUGUAAAAUGGUAAUUUUCGGACCAUGUAAACUCAUAAAAUCGAGUUGGAAUGAAAGAUAAUGAAGCUGGAAAAUAUUAGUAGCUUUAUCCUUCUAUUGUAAUUCAUUUUUAUAUGCUCUUGAAUGUUUGAUAAUGUUAUAACGAUAUGUUAGUUAAUUAAAUUGUGUUAAGCAUCUUUAAUUAUUUUUAUUUUUGCAAAGCAUUAGAUA